rnacentral:rRNA from 1 species
UACAGAGGGGGCAAGCGUUGUUCGGAAUUACUGGGCGUAAAGGGCGCGUAGGCGGCCUUCUAAGUCGAACGUGAAAUCCCCGGGCUCAACCCGGGAACUGCGUCCGAUACUGGGAGGCUUGAAUCCGGGAGAGGGAUGUGGAAUUCCAGGUGUAGCGGUGAAAUGCGUAGAUAUCUGGAGGAACACCGGUGGCGAAGGCGGCAUCCUGGACCGGUAUUGACGCUGAGGAGCGAAAGCGUGGGGAGCGAACAGG